GGAGAGAAGAGGUCAGGGAGGUAGCCGGGAGGGAAGAGUGAAGUAAGAAGCAGAUGAAGAGAAGCAGGGUGGGCACACACCCAGAGCCCCCCUGUGUCACCCGCCUGCUACCAGACCCAGGAGGGUCCCGUCGGGGUGGGGGUCCUGGGACUUAGCUCCUCCUCCAGCCUCAGCCCUCCCGGCGCCAAGAUUCUUCAACGUCCUCGGGAUGCACCUCCGCACUGUGGGGUCAUCUGGGUCAGCCCGGACGCGCCGGCCUCUGUCUGGGUCCCAGUCUUCUCACCGCCAGGCGGGCAGGUAGGUGAGGCCUCGGUCAUUCCAGGUGCAGCCUCGGAUCAGGGAUGACGGCCCAGGCUGAGACCCCCGCAGCCCCGCACCUGGGCUCUGGGGGCAAGUGUGUUGGCUUUGAGGACCCAGCCUUGGAGGUCAGAUGGCA
rnacentral:lncRNA from 1 species